AGUGGCGAAGGCGGCCUUCUGGACUGACACUGACACUGAGGUGCGAAAGCGUGGGUAGCAAACAGGAUUAGAUACCCUGGUAGUCCACGCCGUAAACGAUGUCGACCAGCCGUUGGGUGCCUAGCGCACUUUGUGGCGAAGUUAACGCGAUAAGUCGACCGCCUGGGGAGUACGGCCGCAAGGUUAAAACUCAAAUGAAUUGACGGGGGCCCGCACAAGCGGUGGAGCAUGUGGUUUAAUUCGAUGCAACGCGAAGAACCUUACCUACUCUUGACAUCCUGCGAACUUGUGAGAGAUCACUUGGUGCCUUCGGGAACGCAGAGACAGGUGCUGCAUGGCUGUCGUCAGCUCGUGUUGUGAAAUGUUGGGUUAAGUCCCGUAACGAGCGCAACCCUUGUCCUUAUUUGCCAGCGCGUAAUGGCGGGAACUCUAAGGAGACUGCCGGUGACAAACCGGAGGAAGGUGGGGACGACGUCAAGUCAUCAUGGCCCUUACGAGUAGGGCUACACACGUGCUACAAUGGCCGGUACAAAGGGUUGCGAGCUCGCGAGAGUCAGCUAAUCCCGAAAAGCCGGUCUCAGUCCGGAUCGGAGUCUGCAACUCGACUCCGUGAAGUCGGAAUCGCUAGUAAUCGUGAAUCAGAAUGUCACGGUGAAUACGUUCCCGGGCCUUGUACACACCGCCCGUCACACCAUGGGAGUGGACUGCACCAGAAGUGGUUAGCUUAACCUUCGGGAAAGCGAUCACCACGGUGUGGUUCAU
rnacentral:rRNA from 1 species